ensembl:snoRNA SNORA70 Small nucleolar RNA SNORA70
CUGCAUAGGCUUUUGAAGAGUCAUAAAUAUUCUUCAUGGGGUCUAGUGUGCAAUGGUUGCAAACAGCAGACUCCUGGGUACCGUGCAGCCUGUUUCUUGCAGGAAUUGCCCUAAGGGACCUUGGAGUCAGCC